UUCGCUCAGCAUCUUUCAGAUUAUUGUUCCUCUCUCUCUUAUUCCUUCUUUUGAUUAUUGUUCUUGUUUUUUUUCUGUGCAGGAACCCUCCUCUCCCAUUCCAAAUCUCAUUGUGCCCGUCGUCCUCUACUCCCUCCCGGCCUAAAUCUUGCUUGCUCAGCGCCGCCCACGCCCUACUACCACAUCGGACUUGCCCCGACCCCCCACCGCUGGAGUGCUUCGAGACAGAGGAAAUCUGUGCCGCCCCCUACAAACCAGCUCCUUGUCUGUGCCGCGUGGAGUGGUUCAAGACGGAGGAAUACAGCAGCAGCAGUCGUAGCCUCCGCUGGUGGAGCAAGCAACUAGGAGCGUUCUAGCAUCUGCACCACUCCGAUCUGUGCCCUCUAUUGCGGAUCCAUCAGUAAGCAAGGCACAUAAUUCUCGAAAAGGUUUGAACCCAUCAAAGGGCUCAAGAUGCUAAAGUUCUCCCUAGGUGAAAGUAUUGUGGAGCUGGCUCACUAAACCCAACGAGUUGUAGAUUGCUGCAUCGAAGUCAUCCUCUUAUGGGGACAUGUGGACUAUGGCUAGUGCUCUCAAGAUGAGCAUUGUAUGGCCAUACAAUAAAAUAAAGGAAUGCAAGAAGGCAUCUAGUCACCUCUCAAGGGCACUUCAGGAUGUGUUGGGCAGUUUUUGACUUGAGUUUCUGGAAAAUGGUUCUCCACAAAACCUAUGGAUGUGCUUUUGGUUUUUUAGUUCCUAGAAAUGAUUGUGUGCACAAACCUUAGUAUAUCAAGUGCUAACUAUUAUAUUGCUUGCUGGGUGUGCAUUCAAGUAAGCAUUCGGUGGCUGGCAAUAUUGUAUGAUGUAAUGUGACUUUGUUGGAUGAAGUAAUGUGCAAGAUAAUAUUGUGAU